UGAGUAACCUGCCCUUAACUCUGGGAUAAGCCUGGGAAACUGGGUCUAAUACCGGAUAUGACUCCUCAUCGCAUGGUGGGGGGUGGAAAGCUUUAUUGUGGUUUUGGAUGGACUCGCGGCCUAUCAGCUUGUUGGUGAGGUAAUGGCUCACCAAGGCGACGACGGGUAGCUGGU
rnacentral:rRNA from 1 species